rnacentral:rRNA from 2 species
AGGUGCGAUCAUACCGGCACUAAUGCACCGGAUCCCAUCAGAACUCCGCAGGUAAGCGUGCUUGGGCGAGAGUAGUACUAGGAUUGGUGACCUCCUUGAAAGUCCUCGUGGCUCGUUCU